rnacentral:rRNA from 1 species
GUCUGGAAAGGCCCGCCAUAGGAGGUAACAGCCCUGUAGUCAAAACUUCGUUCUCUCCUGAGUGGAUCCUGAGUACGGCGGAACACGUGAAAUUCCGUCGGAAUCCGGGAGGACCAUCUCCCAAGGCUAAAUACUCCCUAGUGACCGAUAGUGAACCAGUACCGUGAGGGAAAGGUGAAAAGCACCCCGGAAGGGGAGUGAAAGAGAUCCUGAAACCGUGUGCCUACAAGUAGUCAGAGCCCGUUAACGGGUGAUGGCGUGCCUUUUGUAGAAUGAACCGGCGAGUUACGAUCUCGUGCAAGGUUAAGCAGAAGAUGCGGAGCCGCAGCGAAAGCGAGUCUGAAUAGGGCGCAUGAGUACGUGGUCGUAGACCCGAAACCAGGUGAUCUACCCAUGUCCAGGGUGAAGUUCAGGUAACACUGAAUGGAGGCCCGAACCCACGCACGUUGAAAAGUGCGGGGAUGAGGUGUGGGUAGGGGUGAAAUGCCAAUCGAACCUGGAGAUAGCUGGUUCUCUCCGAAAUAGCUUUAGGGCUAGCGUGUAGUGUUAAAUAAUGGUGGUAAAGCACUGAAUAUGGAAUGGCCUCGCCUAGAGGUACUGACUAUAAUCAAACUCUGAAUACCAUUAUGA